UAAUGACUUACAGGGUAUCGCACAGCGAAAAUAGAAUCCUGAUGGCGAUGAUUCUAAUGGAGGGUGCGCUUGGCUGAUAAUCGUGUGUUGGGUCAGAUUGUUCAUUCUCCAAGAAUUGGUGUCCACUGGAGAUUGCGGGACACAUCCCCCAGGGAUAAGUGGGGACUGCUGUUGUGAAAGGUGUGGGUAGAUCUGGACACCAUUGUCAGCGUCUUCACUCGGUGGUUGGCACUUUGGCAAGACACCUGAUCUGGUAAAUAUCCAGAACGGGGAGAGCAGGAUUGUAUGGAAUUUCUGUGUUUAGUGUCUGGAGCCAUCUCCCCACUGCCUUCCGUCGCGCAGGCGCGUGCUGCUAUGGCACGCCUUUCCCAAAGUGCGUGCUGUGGAGCACUGAUUCCCAGCGGUGGUCGUAGUUGUUCUGCAAAAGUGGCUCCAGGGUGUUCGAGUCAUCAAACCAGGAGGCCGCCAGGCGGGCAGCUCUCUUGUCCCCGUGGCCUGUGUCACUAACCAAGUCUCAGCCCGUCGUGCCUCAGGUCACAAAACCAAACCUAGGGGCAGCCUCCGGCACAGAGCCAGAUGGGCUCCCAGCCUGCCCCUCCCGUGCUGUCUCCUUUGGCUCCUGCACCCCCCGGCCCCCGUGUGGGAGCAGCCCUGACCGCUGCAGUCUACCAGUACUUCAAGACUGCGAAUCGGUUCUUG